CAUAAAUUCAAUAGAAUUAUUUUUCAUUUAACGUGUAUGCAAUUAAUUUAAUUUGUACGUCUUGGUGUGUUUAAAUGCAUUUAUUCACAGUUUCCCGAGAACUGACAUACAGACAUACUUGUAUUAGUAGAGCUUAAGGUUCAUCAUAAAAGAAUAAUUAUCAUUUAUUUAUGUGCAUUACUUUUUCCAUGUUUUGUUUACCUUGAGAUUUAAUAAACCGUAUAAAAAUACAUUCAUUUACAUAUUUGAUAACCUUAAUCAUGAUUGUAUAAAUAUAUGCCUCAC
rnacentral:lncRNA from 1 species